GACCUUGAUUCUGGUCUUACCGUUCUCUCGUGUCAACGUGGCAAUCUCAACUAGACCAACACAAGUGGGACAUGGCAUUAGGCAUAGAAAGAGAGCUUGCUGACAUCCAUGGUCUUGUUGAGCACUUUGAUGGCCAGUGCGAGAGCAGUGGAGAGAGUCAUCUCUCCCUCUUUAAAGUCCUGCUUCAGCAUUGAUACUGCAGCCUACAAGAAACAACACAGAAACAUGCCUAUACAUUCACUCACAAAAUGACCAGAAUUAUCUGCACAGCCCUGUGCAGUAAAUAUGAAACUGUGUGAAGGAGGCAAAAAAAAAAUAAAAAACCAUCUUUUGCCUUAA